rnacentral:rRNA from 1 species
AUUGAACGCUGGCGGCAGGCCUAACACAUGCAAGUCGAGCGGAUGAGGAGAGCUUGCUCUCUGAUUUAGCGGCGGACGGGUGAGUAAUGCCUAGGAAUCUGCCUGGUAGUGGGGGAUAACGUUCCGAAAGGAACGCUAAUACCGCAUACGUCCUACGGGAGAAAGCAGGGGACCUUCGGGCCUUGCGCUAUCAGAUGAGCCUAGGUCGGAUUAGCUAGUUGGUGAGGUAAUGGCUCACCAAGGCGACGAUCCGUAACUGGUCUGAGAGGAUGAUCGGUCACACUGGAACGGGGACACGGUCCAGACUCCUACGGGAGGCAGCAGUGGGGAAUAUUGGACAAUGGGCGAAAGCCUGAUCCAGCCAUGCCGCGUGUGUGAAGAAGGUCUUCGGAUUGUAAAGCACUUUAAGUUGGGAGGAAGGGUUGUAGAUUAAUACUCUGCAAUUUUGACGUUACCAACAGAAUAAGCACCGGCUAACUUCGUGCCAGCCGCCGCCGUAAGAC